rnacentral:rRNA from 1 species
CACGUAGGGCGCAAGCGUUUGUCCGGAAUUAUUGGGCGUAAAGAGCUCGUAGGCGGUCUGUUGCGUCCGCUGUGAAAACUCGGGGCUUAACCCCGAGCCUGCAGUGGAUACGGGCAGACUAGGAGGUAGGUAGGGGAGAAUGGAAUUCCCGGUGUAGCGGUGAAAUGCGCAGAUAUCGGGAGGAACACCGGUGGCGAAGGCGGUUCUCUGGGACGGUACUGACGCUGAGACGCGAAAGCGUGGGGAGCGAACAGG